UGGGGAAUAUUGGACAAUGGGCGAAAGCCUGAUCCAGCAAUGCCGCGUGGGUGAAGAAGGUCUUCGGAUUGUAAAGCCCUUUCGGCGGGGACGAUGAUGACGGUACCCGCAGAAGAAGCCCCGGCUAACUCCGUGCCAGCAGCCGCGGUAAUACGAAGGGGGCUAGCGUUGCUCGGAAUGACUGGGCGUAAAGGGCGCGUAGGCGGCUCAUAGAGUCGGGCGUGAAAUUCCUGGGCUUAACCUGGGGGCUGCGUUCGAUACCUAUGGACUGGAGUGAGGAAGAGGGUCGUGGAAUUCCCAGUGUAGAGGUGAAAUUCGUAGAUAUUGGGAAGAACACCAGUGGCGUAGGCGGCGACCUGGUCCUUUACUGACGCUGAGGCGCGAAAGCGUGGGGAGCAAAC
rnacentral:rRNA from 1 species